GUAUUGUUUCUUUUGGUUCUUGAGAACAGUUUCUAUUUUUCAUCACUGUGAUGAGGGCAGCGCUGGUUUUUCGGGGGGAGCAGCCCGAGCAAGAAUCGCUCAGUUUGAACUUUGUGAGUUUGUUUAAGUAGAUUUGCCUGUUGGGGCUGGUAAAGCAUAUUUCUCGUUGUUGGAUGGAAAUGUCUGAUGUCAGUAUGCUGACCCUCUGAAUAUAAAUAACAGAUCCAGGGAAGGAUUCUGUGAGCUGAAACGAAAAUAAUUCACAUAGUGUUUGGUUUGAAAAUUAAAUCAGGGAUAUGAAUCAUUGGCAACAUCUGGAGGGUUGAUGGGAAUUUUCUUGUUUUGACAAAGGAAUUAUUUUAACAUUUUUAUUAAAUGAAAUGGGAAAGGGAGUCUGUUUUCUCUCUCAAGUUUUUUUUGUCUCUAAUUUCAUUAAAUUAAGAAUUAAGAACUGAAUCAGUCCAUUAAAAUUUGUAGUUUCUGAGGAGCUGAUUUGUAGUUUUUAGGACCUCUGGAUGAAAAACAACAAUGAGUAAACCCCUGCAGACUAAUUACAGCAGUUAUUCUAAUAGACGCUGUAGCAGGCUGCGUUUCCACUGAAUUGAAAUAAAUUGACGGAAACCUGUUCCUCAUUUUCCCUCAGACCUCCCGGACCCGCCUCUCAGGGGCGCCCUGGGGUCCCCACACCCCAAUUGAGAUUCUACCCCCCUCUACCUCCGCCACCUCAUCCCCCCUUCUUCAGAACCCCACGGGGCACCCGGCCCCCGCUUCUGCACCCGGACGCGGCGAUGCAGGGGUUAACGUGGUGACGUGGUGCUCCUGAAGCGGUGACCCACGAGGGCAGCCUGUGGGGGCUGCAGGGGGGGAGAGGAACAGAGGAGAAAGACGAGGCUGAGGUCCCGUUUGGGAAGAAAGGAGGGAAGAGGACUCCCAAACAUUACCUCCGUGUUUUUUACACGAUUACCAAACUGCAGAUUCUUCCUGUGGUUCGCUUUUUUUACACACCUUUAGUAAAACGCGAGUGGAAACUG